AGAAUGAACGCUGGCGGCGUGGUUAAGACAUGCAAGUCGAACGGUUUUUCAGAUGUAGCAAUACAUUUGAAAAGCAGUGGCGAACGGGUGCGUAACACGUGAACAAUCUACCUUUUAGUGUGGAAUAGCUCGGCGAAAGCCGGAUUAAUACCGCAUGUGGUUGCUGCUCGCAUGAGUGGCAUACUAAAGUCAGGGACCGCAAGGCCUGACGCUAUUAGAGGAGUUCGCGGCCUAUCAGCUAGUUGGCGAGGUAACGGCUCACCAAGGCUAAGACGGGUAGCUGAUCUGAGAGGAUGGCCAGCCACAUUGGGACUGAGAGACGGCCAGACUCUACGGGGAGCAGCAGUGGGGAAUCUUGCGCAAAUGGCCGAAAGGCUGACGCAGCGACGCCGCGU
rnacentral:rRNA from 1 species